GUUGUUGUUUUUGUUGCUAUUUCUUGGGCCGCUCCCGCGGCAUAUGGAGGUUCCCAGGCUAGGGUUGAAUCGGAGCUGUAGCCACGGCCUACGCCAGAGCCACAGCAACGCAGGAUCCGAGCCGCGUCUGCAACCUACACCACAGCUCACGGCAACGCCGGAUCGUUAACCCACUGAGCAAGGGCAGGGACCGAACCCGCCACCUCAUGGUUCCUAGUCAGAUUCGUUAACCACUGCACCACGACGGGAACUCCCAUAAUUAACUUUUUAAAGGCUGAUUUUUAUUUUCAUCAGGAUAUACCUGGUCAUGGUUUAGGGAAUCAAAUUAUUUAACAAGACAUAGGAAGCAAAAGAAAAAUUAAUUUGUUUGCUCCCAUCAUAUCCCAUUUCCCAUUCCUUAGAAACAAGCAAUUUCAAUCCUUUCAAUUUUUUAAUACAUAUCCCUAUCUUUAAGGGAGAUGCUUAUACCACUGCUUCUGUUUCCAGGUUAGAUACCUAUUCAUUCAUUUCUCACCGAUGGAAGAUUAGUGUUUCUUUUCCAAACUCUUCCUUUCUCUCGCUGCCCCUGCACACUUCCCAACUCCUCACCCCUCUAUAAAUGCAUUCUCUUACAAAAAUUCAGUGCUUUAAUUCUUAUGAUCACAUAAAUGAUAUUCAGAGCUGAGCUAUACAGAACAUUUGCCUUAUUUGAAUGUGUACAAAUAGAUAUACAAUUUGAUGAGCACACUGUGCAACCAUCACCCAGAUCUAGAAACAGGACAGUGAGACAGAAGCACCCAGAAGCCUUCAGAUCCUUCCUCAUCCUUGUCCUCAAGAACUGCUCUGACCAUUCUUGCUAUAGUUCUGUUUUUAAGUUUAUAUAGAAUCGUAGAGUAUAAGAGUUAUUGCUGUGGCUCAGUAGGUUAAGGACCCGAUGUUAGCUUUGACAGGAUGCAUGUUCAAUCCCUGGCCUUGCUCAGUGGGUUAAGGAUCUAGCGUUGCUGCAAGCUACUGCAUAGGUUGCAGAUGCGUCUCAGAUCUGGUGUUGGUGUUGCUGUGGCUGUGGCAUAGGCCUCAGCUGCUGCUGAUUCAACCCUUGACUCAGGAACUUCCAUAUACCACACGUACGGCCAUAAAAAGAAAAAAAGAAAGAAUCAUACAAUAAGUACUCUUUUUUGUCUGAUUGAUUUUGCUGUUCUCUUUCUAGCUUGAGAUCAAAGCUUAGAUUACUGAUCUGGACUUCCCACUGUAGUACAGUGGGUUAAGGAUCUGGCAUUGCCACAGCUGUAGCACAAGUCUGGAUUCAACCUCUGGCCCCAGAAUUUCCAUAUGCCUCAGAACUGAUCUUUCUUUUCUCUUUCCAUUGUGAUUUUUUUUUGUACUUUUAAAAUAAUGAAUUUGCAGACUUUGGGCUGUGGUGCAAUGAUAUUGGAGGCAUCUCUGCAGCACUAGAAUGUAGGUUCAAUCCCCAGCUGACACAGUGGGUUAAAGGAGCUGGCAUUGCCACAGUUGCAGCCUAAGUCGUGACUGGCUCGGAUUUGGUCCCUGGCUCGGGAACUCCAUAUGCUGUCAGGGCAGCCAAAAAA
rnacentral:lncRNA from 1 species